UUUCCGUAGGUGAACCUGCGGAAGGAUCAUUAUUGGAUUUUGAAACUUUAGGCUGCUGCUGGCUCUCCUCGGAGGGCAUGUGCACGCUUGUUGUCCAUUAUUUCUCCCACUGUGCACAAAUUGUAGACCUUUCAGUAGGCCUAUGUUGUUUUUCACAAUCUCUGAAUGUAAUAGAAUGGUUUUGAAUCUUGGGAAAUACAAUACAACUUUCAGCAACGGAUCUCUUGGCUCUC
rnacentral:misc_RNA from 1 species